UAUGCACAAUUUUAUUUAAAAACGGGUAUUACUAUUAAUGCUACAUUAGUGCUACAUUUGUAUAUAUGAACUUUUCUCAAAUGUAUUACCAUGACUACAUUAUUAUUUCUCUUUCAGAAAUUUUGAAUUCAAUGAUUUGACAACUAUCCCAUCCGGUGCAUUUUUUGAUGUGGGGCAGACAUUGGACAGUUUGAUUAUCACCCAUAAUCAUUUGACGUCUAUUAAUGCAUCUAUUUUCUACGGGCUCAAUAAGCUUGACUUAGCGUCGUUCCAAGGAAAUCCGAUCACUACCAUUGAACCUGGUGCUCUGAAUGGUUUGCCUACGUUGAGGGAUGUGUGA